GAUGAAGAACGUAGUGAAAUGCGAUACUUGGUGUGAAUUGCAGAAACCCGUGAACCAUCGAGUCUUUGAACGCAAGUUGCGCCCGAAGCCAUUAGGCCGAGGGCACGCCUGCCUGGGCGUCACACGUCGUUGCCCCCCCAUCUAAUCCUUCGGGAUUGCGGGGGGCGGAUGAUGGCCUCCCGUGCGCCUCGUCGCGCGGUUGGCAUAAAUGCCAAGUCCUCGGCGACGCACGCCACGACAAUCGGUGGUUGCGAAACCUCGGUUGCCCGUCGUGUGCGGUCGUCGCGCAUCGAGGGCUCGAAAAAAUUGCCGGGCUCCGGCUCGACUUUCAACGCGACCCCAGGUCAGGCGGGGUUACCCGCUGAAUUUAAGCAUAUCAAUAAGCGGAGGA
rnacentral:misc_RNA from 1 species